rnacentral:rRNA from 1 species
UGCAAGUCGAGCGGAAUGAUGAAGAAGCUUGCUUCUUCUGAUUUUAGCGGCGGACGGGUGAGUAACACGUGGGCAACCUACCUUGUAGAUUGGGAUAACUCCGGGAAACCGGGGCUAAUACCGAAUAAUCCAUUUUGCUUCAUGGCAGAAUGUUGAAAGACGGCUUCGGCUGUCACUACGAGAUGGGCCCGCGGCGUAUUAGCUAGUUGGUAGGGUAAUGGCCUACCAAGGCGACGAUACGUAGCCGACCUGAGAGGGUGAUCGGCCACACUGGGACUGAGACACGGCCCAGACUCCUACGGGAGGCAGCAGUAGGGAAUCUUCCACAAUGGACGAAAGUCUGAUGGAGCAACGCCGCGUGAGUGAAGAAGGUUUUCGGAUCGUAAAACUCUGUUGUAAGGGAAGAACACGUACGAGAGUAACUGCUCGUACCUUGACGGUACCUUAUUAGAAAGCCACGGCUAACUACGUGCCAGCAGCCGCGGUAAUACGUAGGUGGCAAGCGUUGUCCGGAAUUAUUGGGCGUAAAGCGCGCGCAGGCGGUCCUUUAAGUCUGAUGUGAAAGCCCACGGCUCAACCGUGGAGGGUCAUUGGAAACUGGGGGACUUGAGUACAGAAGAGGAAAGCGGAAUUCCACGUGUAGCGGUGAAAUGCGUAGAGAUGUGGAGGAACACCAGUGGCGAAGGCGGCUUUCUGGUCUGUAACUGACGCUGAGGCGCGAAAGCGUG